CAUGCAGUCGAGCGGUAGCACAGAGAGCUUGCUCUCGGGUGACGAGCGGCGGACGGGUGAGUAAUGUCUGGGAAACUGCCUGAUGGAGGGGGAUAACUACUGGAAACGGUAGCUAAUACCGCAUAACGUCGCAAGACCAAAGUGGGGGACCUUCGGGCCUCAUGCCAUCAGAUGUGCCCAGAUGGGAUUAGCUGGUAGGUGGGGUAACGGCUCACCUAGGCGACGAUCCCUAGCUGGUCUGAGAGGAUGACCAGCCACACUGGAACUGAGACACGGUCCAGACUCCUACGGGAGGCAGCAGUGGGGAAUAUUGCACAAUGGGCGCAAGCCUGAUGCAGCCAUGCCGCGUGUGUGAAGAAGGCCUUCGGGUUGUAAAGCACUUUCAGCGGGGAGGAAGGCGGUGAGGUUAAUAACCUCAUCGAUUGACGUUACCCGCAGAAGAAGCACCGGCUAACUCCGUGCCAGCAGCCGCGGUAAUACGGAGGGUGCAAGCGUUAAUCGGAAUUACUGGGCGUAAAGCGCACGCAGGCGGUCUGUCAAGUCGGAUGUGAAAUCCCCGGGCUCAACCUGGGAACUGCAUUCGAAACUGGCAGGCUAGAGUCUUGUAGAGGGGGGUAGAAUUCCAGGUGUAGCGGUGAAAUGCGUAGAGAUCUGGAGGAAUACCGGUGGCGAAGGCGGCCCCCUGGACAAAGACUGACGCUCAGGUGCGAAAGCGUGGGGAGCAAACAGGAUUAGAUACCCUGGUAGUCCACGCUGUAAACGAUGUCGAUUUGGAGGUUGUGCCCUUGAGGCGUGGCUUCCGGAGCUAACGCGUUAAAUCGACCGCCUGGGGAGUACGGCCGCAAGGUUAAAACUCAAAUGAAUUUGACGGGGGCCCGCACAAGCGGGUGGAGCAUGUGGUUUAAUUCGAUGCAACGCGAAGAACCUUACCUGGUCUUGACAUCCACAGAACUUUCCAGAGAUGGAUUGGUGCCUUCGGGAACUGUGAGACAGGUGCUGCAUGGCUGUCGUCAGCUCGUGUUGUGAAAUGUUGGGUUAAGUCCCGCAACGAGCGCAACCCUUAUCCUUUGUUGCCAGCGGUUAGGCCGGGAACUCAAAGGAGACUGCCAGUGAUAAACUGGAGGAAGGUGGGGAUGACGUCAAGUCAUCAUGGCCCUUACGACCAGGGCUACACACGUGCUACAAUGGCAUAUACAAAGAGAAGCGACCUCGCGAGAGCAAGCGGACCUCAUAAAGUAUGUCGUAGUCCGGAUUGGAGUCUGCAACUCGACUCCAUGAAGUCGGAAUCGCUAGUAAUCGUAGAUCAGAAUGCUACGGUGAAUACGUUCCCGGGCCUUGUACACACCGCCCGUCACACCAUGGGAGUGGGUUGCAAAAGAAGUAGGUAGCUUAACCUUCGGGAGGGCG
rnacentral:rRNA from 1 species